GGCAGGUGUAGAAAGACCCUGUGUUGAUGUUAGAGUUAAUUGCCCUUCCACUGUUUACAUUUCCCCUUUAAGCUCUUCCAGCACCCCCUUAGUUAAUUUCUUAGGAAUCCUGUGUAAUAAACAAUGAACCCUCUUACAUAAUCCUUGGUAGUGUGGUUGGUCACCCCUAUAAUGUACAUGUACUUCAGUUAGCAGACUGGCAGCGCAAGGGGAACACCCACACUUGUUCUCCCUUCCCAAGCUUUGAUUUUUACUCUAUAAGUUUUGCCUGCUUCAAGACCUUACUGCUAUAUGGACUCGGUUUGAAAGCCAUUUUGAUUUUAAUCUGUAACUUUCUUUGGCACUGUGUUUUUAAUUGUUUCAAUUCUGGGUUUCGUUUAAUAGUUUUACUGUGUGUUGGUCUUGGUUAAGGUUACACUGGUUUGGCUUUUGGUCAUUGCUUUAGUAUCAAUAAAGUUAUUUUUCUUAUUUUUGUUUAUUGAGGAAACCUA